rnacentral:tRNA from 1 species
GGCCCUAUAGUCCAGUGGCUAAGACGUAUCCUUGACGUGGAUAAGACCCAAGUUCGAUUCUUGGUAGGGCCA